AGUGAACGCUGGCGGUAGGCCUAACACAUGCAAGUCGAACGGCAGCACAGUAAGAGCUUGCCCUUACGGGUGGCGAGUGGCGGACGGGUGAGGAAUACAUCGGAAUCUACUUUUUCGUGGGGGAUAACGUAGGGAAACUUACGCUAAUACCGCAUACGACCUACGGGUGAAAGCAGGGGAUCUUCGGACCUUGCGCGAAUGAAUGAGCCGGUGUCGGGUUAGUUAGUUGGCGGGGUAAAGGCGCACCAAGGCGACGAUCCGUAGCCAGUCUGAUAGGCGGAUGAGCGACAGUGGGACUGAGACACGAUCCAGAGUCCUACGGGAGGCAGCAGUGGGGAAUAUUGGACAAUGGGCGCAAGCCUGAUCCAUCCGUACCGCGUUGGUGAAGAAGGCCUGCGGGUGGUAAGGCCCUUUUGUUGGUAAAGAAAAGCUGCAGGUUAAGACCCCGCUGUUCUGACGGUACCCAAAGAAGAAGCACCGGCUAACUUCGUG
rnacentral:rRNA from 1 species